rnacentral:sRNA from 1 species
ACCCAGAAAAAAGAGUUUUUAGCCUUAUUUAGCAUUUUUAAAACUAGUGAAAUUUACACAAGCCACAAGCAAUUCAUCGGUUUGAGUAUUGACAACACUAAACUACCAGUCUUAAAAAUUGCGCAAACCAAGCAAAUUAAAGCACUGCUAGACAAGGGGAUGACGGCCAUUAUCCCCACCGACACGCAAAUAGGAUUAAUGAGUUAUUGCCAACAAGAUUUAGACCACAUUAAACAACGCGAUCCCAACAAGCACUACGUCCAGUU